rnacentral:rRNA from 1 species
ACGGGUGAGUAACGCGUGGUCAACCUACCGUUGAGUGGGGGAUAACUAACCGAAAGGUUAGCUAAUACCGCAUACGUCUCCGAGGGGCAUCCCUUGGCGAUAAAAGGAGCAAUCCGCUCGAUGACGGGACCGCGUCCCAUUAGCUAGAUGGUGGGGUAACGGCCUACCAUGGCACCGAUGGGUAGCUGGUUUGAGAGAGCGACCAGCCACACUGGGACUGAGAAACGGCCCAG